UACAGAAAGAAACUGUAGUUUUUGACCUUGAUAAGGAGGAUGAUGCACCGGGACAUCCACUCAACCAGGAAAAUAAUGAGCUACUAUAUCCACAUUAUUCAAGAAAGUGAAUGAAAAGGUGUGAACCUUUGUCAACAUAUCCUCACAUCUAUGAUCUGAUCCAUGCAACAAACAUCGAAUCACUUAUAAAGGAUGCCUCUGCCAAAAACAGGUAUUUUCAUUCUAAAGUGCUAAUUUGAAUUCAUAGACUUGGCUUUCUUCUACAUUUUUUGGGGUCAUGAUGAUGUGAUUGAAUUUUUGUUUAUGAAUUUUAAAUUUCAAUUGAUGCUUUCAAAUAUCUGUUAACAUGAAUAAUUGGAUAAAGCGUUAGCAAAAACUUGCUACUACCUUAAUUGACGUGUAGCUUGUUAGUUUCAUCAUAGUUUUGUACCAAAGUCAAGAAUGCAUGUGUAUACAGUCAUGGUUUUACUACUUAAUAAACAAAAGAUUAUAGUCAAAUGUAGUUCUAAGUUGCAGAUACUAACAAAAAAAGUGAG
rnacentral:sRNA from 1 species